ACCAGCGCGGGAUGUAGCGGAUCUGAUGUGUCAUCUCGGCGAGCAGGCGAC
rnacentral:sRNA from 1 species